rnacentral:pre_miRNA from 1 species
UUAAUUUUUGCAUGGGGAUCUUGUUAAAAUGCAGUUUCUUAUUCAGUAUUUCUGAAUUAGGGCCUGAGAAUCUGCAUUUCUAAUAAGCUCCCAGGUAAUUCUAGA